UGUCUCGUAGCUCAGACAGUAGAGCAUGCGCGUACAGAGCGUAGGCGGUGUCCAUGCGUGGGUUCGAAUCCCAUCGAGGCUA
rnacentral:tRNA from 1 species